GUAGCUCAGUGGAUAGAGCAGGCGCCUUCUAAGCGCUUGGCCGCAGGUUCGAGUCCUGCC
rnacentral:tRNA from 1 species